rnacentral:tRNA from 1 species
GGAGGUGUGGCUCAGUGGCAGAGCGCUGGCCUGGCAUGCCCGAGGCCCUGGGCUCCACCA